AAAAUAUAUUAUAUAAUAAAUCAACUAUUGAUAUAACAUAAAAUAAAAAUAAAAAUAAAAGACAAGAAUAUGGGAGAGAGUUUUCCUCUCUUCUCCCUGCAAUGAAAUAUACGUGGUGAAUCCCAUAUUUUUACUAUUCCAAAAUUGCCCCUGCAAAGAACUCCGGCAUCCUCCCCCUACCUUUCGAUGUUUCCUGUCUCGCGUCCUAUCCCCCGUCAAUUUGCUCCGCCUGGUCGCGCUGCUUCUGCCACCGCCACCCUCACCAGUGCCCCAUUCCGACUCCGAUCCUUGCCAUUGAACUCUGCAUGAUCGCACACCGUGCUGCCCUUCAGCCUGGCCUCUAUUGAUUGUCCUCCAACGCGUGUUGUCCUGCGCCUAUAACCUCCCCCAGUGCCUACAGGCACUUACUCGCUGCUACUUCGUGCUCUUCGGCCACUCCCAGAUCGCACCUAUUUCCUCUCUAAAGCACAAACUCAGACAUGGGCGUUCUCGCUCCCUUCCUCUGUUCCCUCUGUUUGUUUACAUUCCAGCCAACAUUUGUGCGCUUCCAAUCUGUUCAUGGAAAUGCCUGUUCAGUUUGGUCUCUUCAAUCAUCGCCUGGUUAUUGCAAUUGCCGCAGGCAGGUUGGAGGUCCAAUGCGUAUCUUCUGCCCUGUUUCGCACUUGACUUGGGAAAAUAGAAUAAAAUAUUUCUGGCCAAUGGUUGCUCUGAAAUAUGGUUUCUUCACCUUAAUUUGUUCCCAUUAUACUUUUGGAGUGAUGUUUCCAAUAUCAGUCCCACAGACCCUCUUUCGAGAACAAAUACAAUGUGGUCCCUCACUCAUAUUCCUCGUCUCAAGGUUCAAAUGCCGUAGACUUAGAGGCUGAAGUGGUCACUGUGGCUUCUCUAGCUGGGACAAGGGAGCAAUUAGUUGGGUCACUGGGUACUGCUGAGACUUCCCCAUACCUCCUUGCUUUGCUUCAAUUGGGUCCAGACGAAAUGUUUCCUAGUCAAAGGAUGACAAAUAAUGAGUUCGAAGUCCGGCAUGGUCUUCCAAACUUACAUUCUAGCUUCUUUGAUUGGAAGGAUGCAGAGAUAAGAAUUUAAAGAAUCGAGAAGCAUUCUCUGACAAAGCACUGCGAAUUGGUAGGAAAUUGUUAUAAGCCUAAUGAUGUUAUGACGUUCACAUUGGUGCUUCAAGAAAGAAUUUAGAAAGUGUCUCAUUUUUCCUAGAGCUCUUUCUUCCUACAUCAAUGCUGUCUUACUAGGAUUAUCCUAUGUCCCAUGUAAGAUAUUGAUGGGAGCCUUGCUCUGCAAGAUGGUCCUUGGUAUUGCUCACUGCAAGAGGCUUACUUGCUGAUGAUAAGAGAUUAGGACCCACCAAUAGAACACCUUGGUACUACUUGGGCUUGGUCCAUUAGGUGGACGGUCGUGUAGCUGAUGCAACGCAUUGCUUCCAGGCUGCUUCCAUGCUGGAAGAAUAUGAUUAUUUCAAAAACUUCAGCUCUUUACUUUGGUGGCUUUUGCCCUUAAAGAUCCUCGGUGCACUUACUCUGCUUUUUGUCGAGUUAACUAGCAAAAAAGUUCCCAUUCUUUCAGGUUGCUCUGAAAUAUAUCAUAAUUUUUUAAUAAGAAGAGCAAUUCACCUUGUUGUCAUUUUGUAACAAUUUAACACGGUUAAGUGUUCAAUAGAUUUUCAAUUGAUUGCUCAGGAUGACAUCAAUGGAUGUUCUGCCUUCUUUUGAUCUUGAAUUUGUUUGUUCAAAUUUUAUACGAUCAUAUUCUUGACCGUGAAGCAACAGGAUUUGAGGGAGGGAGGAGUUUCAGGGAUUUUUGGAGAAGUCGAUUCAAGGAAGAGACAUUUAACAAGUCAAAUCAAAAGGAAAAAAAAAGAGAAAAAGAAAUUGAAGUUUUUCGAUUUGAUUGUUCUAGGAUCAUAGGCUUUGUAGAAUGUUGCGUGAAGUUUACCAACAUUGUCCUACUCAAUUGAUUUGCCAUUCUUGCUCGCCUGAUGUAAGUACAUGUUUGUUUCACUGGGAAGUUUGUGCUAGAGGGAAGAUAGUUAUUCAUCCCUUUUUUUUUUUUGCCGAGUUUGGAGAUACUUACCUAUUGAUUGUAUCAAUUUGUAUAUUUUUAUUUUUGUGAAGAAAAUGCAGAACCUAUUUAUACCGUCUUCACAUGCCC